CUCUCUCUGUUACCGCCGAUCAGAGAGACAAAGAGAGUGAGAGAGACAGAGAGAGAGAGACAAAGUGUGAGAGAGUGUCGGGUCAGAGGUCAUUGGUUGAUGUUUACGCGUUCGCCGGUCUUAUCGCUUAGGGUUAAUGCAGGGUUAAUGUAGAGAAUGCUUACACAAGGUCCUGAGGGUGACUCACGUAAGGGGCGACAGAGGCCCUGAGGGUGAGCUACAAGGGAGAAAAGGGAGCAGACGGUGUCAAGAAUUGGUACUAUUCACACGGAUAUCCUUUCUGUCCGAGUUUGUCCGAGUCCGAGAGCCCGAAACACGUAAGUUAACUCGCUCUCGUGUCGUAUAUGUAUAUACGUCGCCCCUGUUAUGUCAUCAUAAUGCCAUAUUAUUGACUUGUUCUUUGUUCUAGUAGCCACAAAUUGUGUUCCAGGUUUUGACCGAACAGGAUCAAAAUAAAAGUUCGUGUCGACGUGCGGGUGUCUCAUUCUCCAGGUCAACAUUAUUGAAAUCACCGCAGUUGCGGUAACA